CCAAUAGCGUAUAUUAAAGUUGUUGCAGUUAAAAAGCUCGUAGUUGAAUUUCGGGAUCAGUAGGUCGGUCGUGCCACUGGUAUGAACUGGUCUCACUGGUUCCUCCCUCUUGACGAACUGCAAUGCUAUUAAUUUAGUGUUGUAGGAAAUCAGGACUGUUACUUUGAAAAAAUUAGAGUGUUUAAAGCAGGCUUUGGCUUGAAUCCAUUAGCAUGGAAUAAUGAAAUAGGACGUUCGAUCCUAUUUUGUUGGCUUCUAGGAUUGACGUAAUGAUUAAUAGGGACAGUUGGGGGCAUUAGUAUUCAAUUGUCAGAGGUGAAAUUCUUGGAUUUAUUGAAGACUAACUACUGCGAAAGCAUUUGCCAAGGAUGUUUUCAUUAAUCAAGAACGAAAGUUAGGGGAUCGAAGACGAUCAGAUACCGUCGUAGUCUUAACCAUAAACUAUGCCGACUAGGGAUCGGAUGAUGUUAAUUUUUUAAUGACUCAUUCGGCGCCUUACG
rnacentral:misc_RNA from 1 species